UAGAUCAAGUUUAACGAAACCGAUCGACGAUUCGAAAGUCGCAACAUCGAAAACGAGCUGGAAGCACGGAAGGCUCUGUGCUUCCGAUAGCAUAGUAGCCUCACUAUAUAUAUAUAUAUAUAUAUAUAUAUAUAUAUAGGCUGGGGCUACUAUACUCAUAUGAGUAUAGAGCCUCUUGUACUCAUAAGUUUUCAGCCGUUCAGAUGAAAAAAUGUGAGGUUAGGAUGAGAGUAGUUAUGGUUAGAUUGAUAGUGGGACCCCUAGGGUUGAGUGGGUAGUUGGUUGAAUAGUAUAAUCUAACGGGUGAAAAUGAUUAAAAGGUAGAUCUAACCGCCAAAAACUUAUGAGUACAAGAGGCUCUAUACUCAUAAGAGUAUAGUAGCCGGACUCUAUAUAUAUAUAUAUAUAUAUAUAUAUAUUUAUA
rnacentral:lncRNA from 1 species